rnacentral:tRNA from 1 species
GCCGGCAUAGCUCAGCUGGUAGAGCAGCUGAUUUGUAAUCAGCAGGUCGUCGGUUCAAGUCCGUCUGCCGGCU